UACGUAGGGUGCGAGCGUUAAUCGGAAUUACUGGGCGUAAAGCGUGCGCAGGCGGUUUUGUAAGCCAGAUGUGAAAUCCCCGGGCUUAACCUGGGAAUGGCAUUUGGGACUGCAAGGCUCGAGUGCGGCAGAGGAGACUGGAAUUCCUGGUGUAGCAGUGAAAUGCGUAGAUAUCAGGAGGAACACCGGUGGCGAAGGCGGAUCUCUGGGCCUUACCUGACGCUGAGGAGCGAAAGCAUGGGGAGCAAACAGG
rnacentral:rRNA from 1 species